rnacentral:rRNA from 1 species
CAGCCGCCACGGGAAAACGGAGGGAGCUAGCGUUGUUCGGAAUCACUGGGCGUAAAGCGCAUGUAGGCGGCUAUUCAAGUCAGGGGUGAAAGCCCGGGGCUCAACCCCGGAACUGCCUUUGAAACUAGAUAGCUUGAAUCUUGGAGAGGCGAGUGGAAUUCCGAGUGUAGAGGUGAAAUUCGUAGAUAUUCGGAAGAACACCAGUGGCGAAGGCGACUCGCUGGACAAGUAUUGACGCUGAGGUGCGAAAGCGUGGGGAGCAAACGGGAUUAGAGACCCCUGUAGUCCCUGUCUCUUAUAC